GUUUUUCUUUAGUAUUUUUGUUGCAUUUGAGGUCUAUGUAUAUAUAUAUACGAUUUUUCUAUAUUAUUAUGAUAUUCACGUAUUUAUUACUAUGAUCUUAAAGUAUUUAUUUUUGUUAGUUCAUAUAAACUUAUAUUGUCAUACAUAUGAACUAAUGAACUUUAAACUCAUAUUGUCAUUAGGGGUGUCAAAAUGGGUAAUCCAACUCAACUCAACUCAUAAUCAAAUGAGUUUAGGAUUAAAUGAGUUAUGGGUUGACCCAACUCAUUUUGUUAAAUGGGUUCGGUCAACCCAUAACUCAAUUAAUUUGAUGGAUUGAGUUGGUAAAUGAGUUAACCCAUUUAAGUAAUAAUUUAAUUAAUUAUUAUUAUAAAAAAUAAUAAAU
rnacentral:sRNA from 1 species